UUUAAGCACGACUCUGCAGAAGGAACAAAGCACCCUCCCCCUGGGCUCCUGGUUGCAGAGCUCCAAGUCCUCACACAGAUACACCUGUUUGAGAAGCAGCGGGCAAGAAAGACGCAAGCCCAGAGAAAAUCCUCUGCUGGCUCUCUAGUUCCCAGGAUCCAGUCCCAGCAUCUCAGCAUGGCCUUCAAGCAUUUCCAUGUCCUGGCCUGGCUCCAUGGUCUCCCCACCAAUUUGCCACCUUCUCCGUGCAUCCUUUUCUGAUCCCCUCCUCACUCAUCCCAGCAAAGAACCCCCUCCUGGCCUGGGCAUAGCAUUUCGUGGCCCUGCCAUUUCUGCGGGCUCAGGUCCCUACUGGCUCAGGCCCCUGCCUACCUCAGCAAGGCCACAAUGAACCAGGGAAUCCCUUUUAGGCACUUGCUUCUGGUGCUGCAACUCGUGCUACUCCCAGCAGCCACUCCGGGAAAGAAAGUGGUGCUGGGCAAAAAAGGGGAUACAGUGGAACUGACCUGUACAGCUUCCCAGAAGAAGAGCAUACAAUUCCACUGGAAAAACUCCAAUCAGACAAAGAUUCUGGGAAAUCAGGGCUC
rnacentral:sRNA from 1 species